CAGUAGCCGCGGUAAUACGUAGGUGGCAAGCGUUGUCCGGAAUUAUUGGGCGUAAAGGGCUCGCGGGCGGUUUCUUAAGUCUGAUGUUAAAGCCCCCGGCUCAACCGGGGAGGGUCAUUGGAAACUGGGAAACUUGAGUGCAGAAGAGGAGAGUGGAAUUCCACGUGUAGCGGUGAAAUGCGUAGAGAUGUGGAGGAACACCAGUGGCGAAGGCGACUCUCUGGUCUGUAACUGACGCUGAGGAGCGAAAGCGUGGGGAGCGAACAGGAUUAGAUACCCCCGUAGUCCCUGUCUCUUAUAA
rnacentral:rRNA from 1 species